GGGAGAGGCAGGCUGGGAGAUGAUGGACUGGAAGAGACUGGGAGAGGCAGGCUGGGAGAUGAUGGACUGGAAGAGACUGGGAGAGGCAGGCUGGAAGAGACUGGGAGAGGCAGGCUGGGAGAUGAUGGACUGGAAGAGACUGGGAGAGGCAGGCUGGGAGAUGAUGGACUGGAAGAGACUGGGAGAGGCAGGCUGGAAGAGACUGGGAGAGGCAGGCUGGAAGAGACUGGGAGAGGCAGGCUGGAAGAGACUGGGAGAGGCAGGCUGGGAGAUGGUGGACUCUCUCUCUUUCUUCUCUUAUCUCUUUGGGAGAGGGUUAGCACUCUCUUCCCCUCCAUCCCUCCUCCCUAAUCCCUUUAUCCACAUGUCCUUCUCUUAUCUAUCAAUCAGUUAAUUUCUCGCUCUGUCACACUCUAUCUGUCCCUCUCAUGUCUUUGAUGAUGUCUGGCCCCAAAGUAGUAUGUCAUGCCAUACUCAUUUUGACCGCUGGAACAUAAUAUCAUAGGAAGACAUCAUCCUGACACAUUUUUCCAAAACGUUAAAAUGUCACAGUAGCUGACAUUUUUCUCAAUACAUUGCAGUCAAUGGGAAAGAUGAGUGUCACAGGGUUGAUGUUUUCUCAUUUAUUUCAUGCCUGUCUCAAUUCAAUUCAAGGGGCUUUAUUGGCAUGGGAAACAUGUGUUUACAUUGCCAAAGCAAGUGACAUAGAUAAUAAACAAAAGUGAAAUAAACAAUAAAAAAUGAACAUUAAACACUACACUUACAGAAGUUUGAAAAUAAUAAAGAUUUCAAAUGGCAUUAUGUCUCUAUACAGUGUUGUAAUGUUGUGCAAAUAGUUAAACA
ensembl:lncRNA